rnacentral:snRNA from 1 species
AGCUGUGCACAGUGGCAGUAUCAUUGCCAAAGAGGUUUACCGAGGCACGGUUAUUACUAAUUAAAAAAAAAACUAAAUAUUUUUCCAGGUAUAAUUUUAUGCAAUAGUGAGUUUCUAAAUAUUAAAUAUGAU